CAGUAGCCGCGGGAACACGAGAGGUGCAAGCGUUAUUCGGAUUGAUUGGGUGUAAAGGGUGUGCAGACGGCUUAUUAAGUCACUUGUUAAAUUCUUCGGCCUAACUGAAGGUCUGCAAAUGAUACUGAUGAGCUAGAGGGUGGAAGAGAGAAGUGGAAUUCUCGAAGUAGCGGUAAAAUGCGUAGAUCUCGAGAGGAACACCGAUGGCGAAGGCAGCUUCUUGGUCCAUUCCUGACGUUCAUACACGAAAGCGUGGGGAGCAAACAGGAUUAGAUACCCGGGUAGUCCCUGUCUCUUAUAC
rnacentral:rRNA from 1 species